rnacentral:lncRNA from 1 species
ACUCUGGUUUCUGAGCUGGAGUGGCCAAGGCACAAUGGGGUGGUUCCAUGGCCCAGAAGCACUCUAGCUACAGAUUAGUUUAUUUCAGGACUAUAUUAAGUUUCCCAACUUCUGUCAUGAUAUAGUCCAAAGAGAACCUGGACCACGCAGACAUCAAACAGAACAUGACACUGACCCAUUCUAUCAGUGACGUUGUGCUGAUUGCACAGGACAGAUGAGAGGCUCGUAUACUAGAAGUCUUGCCAGCUGGACCUGCCCUCAGCUACCUCAUCUCUCUCUGUGACCUAAUGACAGAAAAGCACAUGAUUCUCUUCACCUGACUUCAUAUAUGGGUCCAUGGUAGAGUUCUCUUACUUAAGCAUGAAACUCUUGAAGAGAGCAUAAACUUUGUUUAAGAAACCAGUAUAACCCAGCACUACCUUAUGAAUAAUUACAGUACAAACAUCAUUUGCUGCUUAAACUAUAUCGUUUUUUGACCAGUUUUAAACAUUUAAAAGUUGUGAUGUGACAUAUUCCAAUGGAAAAUUGCAAUUUCCAAAUCUCUACUCUUGAAUCAUUGGUUAAUAAAUGUUCCUGAUCUGG